UCCGUAGGUGGAUAAUUAAGUCAGAGGUGAAAUCCUGCAGCUCAACUGCAGAAUUGCCUUUGAUACUGGUUAUCUUGAGUCAUUAUGAAGUGGUUAGAAUGUGUAGUGUAGCGGUGAAAUGCAUAGAUAUUACACAGAAUACCGAUUGCGAAGGCAGAUCACUAAUAAUGUACUGACACUGAGGGACGAAAGCGUGGGGAGCGAACAGGAUUAGAUACCCUGGUAGUCC
rnacentral:rRNA from 1 species